rnacentral:tRNA from 1 species
GGGGGUAUGGCGAAAUGGUAGACGCUACGGACUUAAAAUCCGUUGGCUUUAUUGACCGUGAGGGUUCAAGUCCCUCUACCCCCA